UAAAAGAUAAGCUAAUCAAGCUGGAGGGCCCAUACCCCUCUUAUGGCCUUGCCUCUUUUCA
rnacentral:tRNA from 1 species